rnacentral:misc_RNA from 1 species
AAGUCGUAACAAGGUUUCCGUAGGUGAACCUGCGGAAGGAUCAUUAACAAUUUUCCAAAAUCAAUGACAUCUUUGUGCCGAUUCCAAAGGCCGGAUGUUAUACCCCACAUUUUGUGACGAACUUGUUUUAUAACUUGAAAAAUUGCUGGGUGCGGUUAAGAGUUUCGGCUCCUACCGCAUUUAAGCUUUUUUCAUUCAUUUUUUCUCCUUUUUUUUUCCAAAACCCAAUGAAACCUUUAUUGACUGAAACAAGUCAACGGUUCUAACGAACGGUUGAUGAAACUCGAAUGAGAAAAACAACUCUUAACAACGGAUAUCUUGGCUCUC